GAGCGGAGCGCAGAUCAGCACCGGGCGUUCUCGGCCCUCCUCCUCCCUCCCCCUAAUCCCCGGUCCUCCCCGCCUCCAACUGGGCUGAGCGCGCCCUGCGGGUGGGCUCGAGAAGCCAAGUGCAAACCCUCCGACACAAAGUUCACGGCCACCGGGGCAGGGCCCGGCCGGGCAGGGCGCUCCAGGCAGCAGCAGCAGCAGCAGCUGCCCCUGCAGGCCUGCGCCGGGACAGCGCGGUGCUCAGCCAGAAGGCCGCUCGGGGACCCCCGCCGAGCCGCGGGCCCACCUGUGACGAGGCCCAUGUUUGCUGAUCCAACCCCACAGAAAACGAGAACCUCUGGUUCCCUGGGAGUGCCUCUGCUUAAGGACUCUGUCUCAUGAAUGCUGGAGUUGGGGGAUGAGGGCUUUGGAAUUUCCCAGUGUAGCCUUGAAGAAUGCCACUUACCAACAAAGCCCUCUACAGCUAUCCAUGGAUGUGUACCUGCUAGCCCACAGCUGUCCGUGGAUGUGUGCCUGCUAGCCCACAGCUGUCCCUAGAUGUGUACCUGCUAGCCCACAGCUGUCCCUGGAUGUGUGCCUGCUAGCCCACAGCUGUCCGUGGAUGUGUAUCUGCUAGCCCACAGCUGUUCCUGGAUGUGUGCCUGCUAGCCCACAGCUGUCCAUGGAUGUGUACCUGCUAGCCCACAGCUGUCCGUGGAUGUGUGCGUGGAUGUGUGCCUGCUAGUCCACAGCUGUCCGUGGAUGUGUACCUGCUAGCCCACAGCUGUCCGUGGAUGUGUACCUGCUAGCCCACAGCUUUCCAUGGAAAACACAACGCUGAAUGGGACGCCAAACAGCAGUCCCGUAGGGAGCCAGCGAGUGAAAUGACACUGCAGUGAAGUGAAGGGACGGAGAUGGCACACAAGGAAUCCACGAGCCUGGGUAUCCCAGGAACCCGGGAUCAGUGUCUAGAGGAAGCCAUGGGAGUGACCCUCGGGACCAGAACAAGAACCUCCCAGGCAGACAAGAGCUUUCCAAGGAGCACAAGUUAAAGACGUGAACUCUCAGCUUCCUGCUCCAGCUGCUGCCUGCUGCCACACUUCUCUAUCACAAUGGAACCUUCUUGUCCCUCUGGAACCAUAAGCCCAAAGAAAUUCUUCUCUGUGUUGCCUUGGUCAUGGUGUUUUACCAUAGCAACCGAGAGUAACUAAUACAGCUUCUUAAGGGGGAGAAACAAGUAAGUGUCCUGGCAAUAGCCACAUUUACCAUUUUGGUGACUCUCAAGUUACAUCUCAAAGGCUUGCUAAAGGUAUUCUCUCUCUCUCUCUCUCUCUCUCUCUCUCUCUCUCUCUCUCUCUCUCUCUUCUCUCCUCUCUCUCUUCCCUCCCUUCCCUCUUUCUCUGAUACAAAGUCUCAUGUGGCCUUCUAUGAAGCCAAGGAUGACCUUGAACUUCUAACCCUCCUGCCUUGACCUUGACCUGCCAAGCGCUGGGAUUACAGCUGUGCACCACGCACAGUUUAUGGUACUGAAGCCUGGACUCAGGGCUUCAUGAUGGUGGCAGCCAAACCUGCUACCAGCUGAGCAUAUCCCCACCCUCUUCUUCCUGAUAAGUGGCUGCAGAGGACUUGCGUGGAGUCGUAAUCUGAUAAGGAAAAUCCAGGAAGCACUAGGGUUGCACAAGGUUUAGGACGUAACUUUUACCAUAAUGGAGUGUCUGGUCUGAGAUUCCUGGAAAGUUGCAGGUCACAGCUGGGAAGGGAGAAAGGUCUUAAGGAAAUGUGGCUAAUGGUGCUGGAAUUUUGACUUCCUAGCUGGAGGGAGCCUUCAAGCAGGCUCCUGGAUGAGACUCCUUUCCGUUCUCCUGUCCCCAUCAUACCCCUGUCUUUCUGUCCUGUCUCAUUGGAGAGCAGAAGUUAAAAAUCCAGGUGUGGGCCGGACUUCAUUCCCUCCAAAGGUUCUUGGAAACGCCCCUUCCUGUCAUUUCUAGUACCUGGUGACUCCAGAUUCCUUGUCACACAGCAAUAGAAAGUGUCUCUAGGGGCUGGAGGAAUGGCUCAGCAGUUAAGAGCACUGCUUGUUCUUCCAGAGGUCCUGAGUUCAAUUCCCAGCAACCACAUGGUGGCUCACAACUACUUGUAAUGAGAUCUGUCGAUCUGAUGCCCUCUUCUGGUCUGCAGGUGUAUAUGCAGAUAGAGCACUGUAUACGUAAUAAAUAAAUCUUUAAAAAAAAGAAAGAAAGUAUCUCUAGCCCUCUCAUGUCUCUCUAGGCCCCUCCUCUUGUAAGAACACCAGUCAUUGUUUGCAUUAGGGCUCAAGCUUGAUAUAGAAUGGCGUCAUUUCCAUGCAUAUAUGCCCAAGCCUUCCCCUCCCUCAGAGUACCCUCAUACAGUCGAGAUCCAGCUGCCCUGUGUCACUGGCAUGGCGGGAGCCAAGAUAUACUAAAGAGAGACACUUGUGCUCUCCCUUCAGCUGUGAGGUUAUAGAAACAAUGGUCUCCGUGGAAUUGGAAGUCACCCCCCCCCCAAGUCUCAGAAUUGACUGAGAUUUCUUAGCUAUGCAUAGCCCCUAUUUAAACAUAAACCUCAGAAACUGGAGAAAUAGCUCUGUGGUUAAGAGCACUAGUUGCUCUUGGAGAGAACUUGGGGUCAAUUCCCAGCACGCACAUGGCAGCUCACAGCCAUUUCUAACUCCAGUCCCAGAGGAUAUGAUGCCCUCUUCUGGCCUUUGCGAGAACUGCAUGCACGUGGUGCACAGAGGUGCAUGCAGUCAGGACACCCUUUCACAUAACAUAAAAACAAUUAAAACAAGCCGGGCGGUGGUGGCACACGCCUUUAAUCCCAGCACUCUGGGAGACAGAGCUAGGCGGAUCUCUGUGAGUUCGAGGCCAGCGAGAUCCAGGACAGGCACCAAAACUACACAGAGAAACCCUGUCUCGAAACACCCCCCCCAAAUAAUAAUAAUAAUUAAAACAAAAAAAUUAAAAAUCAUGAACCCUUAUACCAGGACGCUGAAAGUGGACUUUGGGGUCCCUGGACCUCUUCAUUUGUUCUUCUUUCCAAUGUAGCCAUAUUGAAUAAACCUCUACUUUUCACUAUUAUGCAUCUCGUUAACUGAUGUAUUUGAGGCCGGGUGGCUGAACCUAGCUUAUCAGGUCUUCUUUAACCAUAAAAACUCCAGCGACAGUGAUUUGGGUAUGUUGGGCACUCUCCAUGGCAGUGAUUUGGGUAUGUUGGGCACUCUCCAUGGCAUGUCAUAUGUCUUGUUUUCUGGCUUCUUUAGAGUUAUCCCACGGAAGUAAACAUCAACGCCCCCUCGCUGUUUGCAAAGGAGACUCAGGCACAAACGCUUUCAGUUGCGCUUACAAGGAAUCCUGGCCUCUGAACACCAGUGUAGCACCUGCAGCCCUGAGACCACACCAUGCUCUCCUGCACCAAGUGUGCAAAAGGGAAACACUGGUGACUGUGGUGUGUGUGUGUGUGUGUGUGUGUGUGUGUGUGUGUGUGUGUGUGUGCACGCGUGUGUGCACGCCUUUGCCCUUACCUUGCUAGGAACUGAACCCUGGGCCUCGGGCACGCCAGCCGAGUUACCACUGAGCUAUACACUGCCCGUCCUCUUCAUGGUUGAUAUUAGCCAAAAGUCCAAUCGAUCUAGUCUUUUUACCGUUUUGAGAUAGGGUCUCACUAAGUUGCCCACACUGGUCUUGACCUUACUCUGUAGCCCAGACAGGCCUUGAACAUGUGAUCCUCCUGCCUCAGCCUUCUGAGUAGCUGAGGUUACAAGUCUGUUUCAGCAGACUGGCUGGCCACUGGUUCUAUGAGAAAUACAUUCCCACAGAAUAAGAGGGAAUUUGUUUCAUUUAGAGCAUAUCUUCUCUAGGCUGGGGACGUCACUUAGGGAUGGGAUGUUUGUGUGGCAUGCAAGAGGACUCCGCACCAAACGGAAAAUAAAAAUAAGGCUUAGAGAUGUCACUGAGUGGCUGUGGUGCUCGCCUAGCCUUCAUGAGCCCUGAGUUCUAUCCUUGGCACCAAUAAAACCAGGUGUGGUGGCAUGCAGCCAUGAUCCUAGCCCUCAGGAAGUAGAGGCUGGCAGAGCAGAAGGUCAAGGUCACCCUCUACAGUAGUCUACUACACAGCGGAUUUGAAGCCCGCCUGGGCUACAUGAGACCCUACCAUUCAUAAGUAAGUCCUGUGUAUAUUUUUCUGAUAACUUCAAUUCUAUUCUUUAUCUGCUUAUACAUCUCUUGCACACUAAAUUUAUUUAUUUUUUUAGUAUUGCCAUUUCUGUUAAAAACAAAUAAAUGCAACUCUGAUUUU